rnacentral:rRNA from 1 species
CUCCUACGGGAGGCAGCAGUGAGGAAUAUUGGUCAAUGGGCGCGAGCCUGAACCAGCCAAGUAGCGUGAAGGAUGAAGGUCCUACGGAUUGUAAACUUCUUUUAUAAGGGAAUAAAGUCGCCUACGUGUAGGCGUUUGUAUGUACCUUAUGAAUAAGCAUCGGCUAACUCCGUGCCAGCAGCCGCGGUAAUACGGAGGAUGCGAGCGUUAUCCGGAUUUAUUGGGUUUAAAGGGAGCGUAGACGGAGGAUUAAGUCAGUUGUGAAAGUUUGCGGCUCAACCGUAAAAUUGCAGUUGAUACUGGUCCCCUUGAGUGCAGUUGAGGCAGGCGGAAUUCGUGGUGUAGCGGUGAAAUGCUUAGAUAUCACGAAGAACCCCGAUUGCGAAGGCAGCCUGCUAAGCUGUAACUGACGUUGAUGCUCGAAAGUGUGGGUAUCAAACAGGAUUAGAUACCCUGGUAGUCCACACGGUAAACGAUGGAUACUCGCUGUUGGCGAUAUACUGUCAGCGGCCAAGCGAAAGCAUUAAGUAUCCCACCUGGGGAGUACGCCGGCAACGGUGAAACUCAAAGGAAUUGACGGGGGCCUGCACAAGCGGAGGAACAUGUGGUUUAAUUCGAUGAUACGCGAGGAACCUUACCCGGGCUUAAAUUGCAGACGAAUUACCUGGAAACAGGUAAGCCGCAAGGCGUCUGUGAAGGUGCUGCAUGGUUGUCGUCAGCUCGUGCCGUGAGGUGUCGGCUUAAGUGCCAUAACGAGCGCAACCCUCGUGGUCAGUUACUAACAGGUCAAGCUGAGGACUCUGGCCAGACUGCCAUCGUAAGAUGCGAGGAAGGUGGGGAUGUCGUCAAAUCAGCACGGCCCUUACGUCCGGGGCUACACACGUGUUACAAUGGGAGGUACAGAAGGCAGCUACCCGGCGACGGGAUGCCAAUCUCCAAAACCUCUCUCAGUUCGGACUGGAGUCUGCAACCCGACUCCACGAAGCUGGAUUA